AGUGAACGCUGGCGGCAGGCCUAACACAUGCAAGUCGAGCGGCAGCGCGGGGGCAACCCUGGCGGCGAGCGGCGGACGGGUGAGGAAUUCGUCGGAAUCUGCCUUUUUGUGGGGGAUAACGUAGGGAAACUUACGCUAAUACCGCAUACGUCCUACGGGAGAAAGUGGGGGACCGCAAGGCCUCACGCAGAAAGAUGAGCCGACGACCGAUUAGCUAGUUGGUGGGGUAAAGGCCCACCAAGGCGACGAUCGGUAGCUGGUCUGAGAGGAUGAUCAGCCACACUGGGACUGAGACACGGCCCAGACUCCUACGGGAGGCAGCAGUGGGGAAUAUUGGACAAUGGGCGCAAGCCUGAUCCAGCCAUGCCGCGUGUGUGAAGAAGGCCUUCGGGUUGUAAAGCACUUUUGUCCGGAAAGAAAUCCCUGGAGCUAAUACCUGCGGGGGAUGACGGUACCGGAAGAAUAAGCACCGGCUAACUUCGU
rnacentral:rRNA from 1 species